rnacentral:rRNA from 1 species
UACGUAGGUGGCAAGCGUUGUCCGGAUUUAUUGGGCGUAAAGCGAGCGCAGGCGGUUUCUUAAGUCAGAUGUGAAAUACCCGGGCUCAACUUGGGUGCUGCAUUUGAAACUGGGUAUCUAGAGUGCAGGAGAGGAAAGUGGAAUUCCUAGUGUAGCGGUGAAAUGCGUAGAGAUUAGGAAGAACACCAGUGGCGAAGGCGACUUUCUGGACUGUAACUGACGCUGAGGCUCGAAAGCGUGGGGAGCAAACAGGAUUAGAUACCCUGGUAGUCCACGCCGUAAACGAUGGGUACUAGGUGUGGGAGGUAUCGACUCCUUCCGUGCCGCCGUUAACACAAUAAGUACCCCGCCUGGGGAGUACGGUCGCAAGAUUAAA